AGCCUCGUGGUGUAUUGCACAUAAAAUUGCAAAUUUUAUAGAGUAAAUUAAGUUUUUCCGGGGCUU
rnacentral:tRNA from 2 species